rnacentral:misc_RNA from 1 species
UUAACUUUAUUUAUAUAUUACUCAGACAACACAAAAAUCAAGAAUUUGGGGUCCUCUGGCAGGCGCGGACCAGCCUAAGCCGGUGGUCAAAAGACGGGCCUGCCAAAGCAACAUAGGUAAUGUAAACAAAGGGUGGGAGAUCUACCCAAAGGGCAAUUUCUCUGUAAUGAUCCUUCCGCAGGUUCACCUACGGAACACUAUAGUCUACCAACCUUUUCAGAGGUAGGCCGGUCAUAUCUGAAUCCAAGACAGGUUAACCUCCCUUGGACCACCUUCGUUUGAUCUGUGGACUGCUAUAAGCAGCUGCAUGUUACCCUGACGGUAUCCAAGCACAGUGAAGAUGUUGCCUACGUAGGUAGACUUGUAUCCAAGGCUUCUACAGGUGUUGUUCUGCAAGAGAAA